UACGAAGGGGGCUAGCGUUGCUCGGAAUUACUGGGCGUAAAGGGCGCGUAGGCGGGUCGUCAAGUUGGGGGUGAAAGCCCGGGGCUCAACCUCGGAAUUGCCUUCAAAACUGGCGACCUGGAGUAUGGCAGAGGUGUGUGGAACUCCGAGUGUAGAGGUGAAAUUCGUAGAUAUUCGGAAGAACACCAGUGGCGAAGGCGACACACUGGGCCAUUACUGACGCUGAGGCGCGAAAGCGUGGGGAGCAAACAGG
rnacentral:rRNA from 1 species